rnacentral:rRNA from 1 species
UGAUCCUGGCUCAGAACGAACGCUGGCGGCAAGCUUAACACAUGCAAGUCGAACGGAUUUUUAUCAUAGCUUGCUAUGAUAAAAAUUAGUGGCAGACGGGUGAGUAAUGCAUAGGAAUCUACCUAGUAGUAUGGGAUAGCCACUAGAAAUGGUGGGUAAUACUGUAUAAUCCCUGCGGGGGAAAGAUUUAUCGCUAUUAGAUGAGCCUAUGUUAGAUUAGCUAGUUGGUAGGGUAAAGGCCUACCAAGGCAGUGAUCUAUAGCUGGUCUGAGAGGAUGAUCAGCCACACUGGAACUGAGAUACGGUCCAGACUCCUACGGGAGGCAGCAGUGGGGAAUAUUGGACAAUGGGCGCAAGCCUGAUCCAGCUAUGCCGCGUGAGUGAGGAAGGCCUUAGGGUUGUAAAACUCUUUCAGUGGGGAAGAUAAUGACGGUACCCACAGAAGAAGUCCCGGCAAACUCCGUGCCAGCAGCCGCGGUAAUACGGAGGGGGCAAGCGUUGUUCGGAAUUAUUGGGCGUAAAGGGCAUGUAGGCGGUUCGGUAAGUUAAAGGUGAAAUGCCAGGGCUUAACCCUGGAGCUGCUUUUAAUACUGCCAGACUCGAGUCCGGGAGAGGAUAGCGGAAUUCCUAGUGUAGAGGUG